GCCGGGCCCAGGGCCGUACGGCGGAGUGCACUUUGACCCGUUGUGCAACCGCCGGUGAGGAAGUAAAUAAAGCGCAGAUCCAACCCGCUGUCUUUUGCCGGCUGCUCUUUCUAAAGUCAGCUGAGAAUUCUUCACAAGACCAUCCAGCAGAGAUGACAGCAAUAUGGAUUACUGUAAUAAGGGAUGUAUCAGAAGAGUCUGCAGUCUGGAGAUGGCUUGGGGGAAGAAGGGUAGUUGCUUUGGGGUGUCUAUAUGCAGCUCCUUCGAGUCUUAACUGCCCAGUCGCAACUCUGAACACCCAUCAAUAAAGGAUGAAAACCUGAUAAUGAUAGUUUCGAUUGGUAAUUUUUUUGCUCCCCUUCUCUGCUUCUUUUUCUGUUCCCUGCCCAGCCUCUGGUAAUUUAAAAUGGUGAAGCUUACUUGGAAUUGGUGGCAAAUGCAGUCUUAGGACAGACGAGCAUAUGGAGAUAAAUAAAACAACUUUAGCACCUCUUCGCAGUCUCUGCACUUCACUGUCUUUGCCUUGGAAACCUGAGAUAUUGUUAAAGUCUUGGUGUUAAAAUCUGGCCAUGUACAUCAGCCAUCCAUUGGUGAAUCUCUGAAUAAGCCUAAGGCUCCUACUAGCCAGGGGUUAAUAAUUCAAAAUUAAGCUUGGUAUGUUCCAGGAAUAUGCCUUAACCCUCACAUUGUAAAAGAAGAAGAGAUGAACAGUAGAUUUUGACAGAAACUCUACAGUUCCUUUUACUGUAACCAUACCCACCUACGUUCCUAUUUCCACCUAAGGAUGGUGUCUGCCCUGGUGGGUACCAGUCCACUUCUGCAGCUACAAAUGUACCAACCCUUCAACUGCAAUUUGGUGUCAGAGACAUCUAAUACAAGGCUGCUGUGGAAGAGAGAUGCUGAAACCACCCAUUGGAUUGUUUGUAUAUGCAUAACAGCCAUUGGAACUUUGUCAGUGAAGCAGAAAAUUCUUUUUUUCAUAAAAGAUGCCAGUAUUGCUUGUACGGAUAUGUGACAAG
ensembl:lncRNA